rnacentral:tRNA from 1 species
AGAGAUAAAGGAUUUAUAGGGAGCUUCUAACUUCUUUAAGGUGGUUCAAUUCCAUCAAUCUCUU